CUUAAAGUCUUUCCUGCCCUAUAAACAGCCCAGUGCCCAGGAUGCCCCACAAGAUUGGCUUCGUUGUCGUCAGCUCGUCUGGACAUGAAGAUGGCUUCAGCGCCCGGGAACUGAUGAUCCACGCACCAACCGUCAGCGGGUGGAGGUCACCGAGAUUUUGCCAGUUUCCACAAGAAAUCGUUCUUCAGAUGGUGGAGAGGUGUCGAAUCAGGAAGCUGCAGCUGCUUGCCCACCAGUACAUGAUCCCAAGUAAAGUGGAGUUCUACAUCAGCGAGAGCCUGCCCGAGUACUUUGUGCCCUACCAGGCGGAGCGGUUCCGGAGACUUGGCUACAUCUCUCUCUGUGACAAUGAGAAGACAGGCUGCAAAGCCCGGGAGCUGAAGUCCGUCUACGUGGAUGCAGUAGGACAGUUCCUGAAGCUGAUUUUUCACGAGAACCACGUCAACAAGUACAACAUAUACAAUCAGGUUGCUCUGGUUGCAGUAAAUAUCAUUGGAGACCCUGCAGAUUUCAGUGAUGAAAGCAAUAUUACCUCUAGAGAGAAGCUGAUUGAUCAUUAUCUGGGGCACAACAGCGAGGACCCAGCUCUGGAAGGAACUUGUACUGGGAAAUCUGACUAUAUUUCUCCACUGGAUGACUUAGCUUUUGAUAUGUACCAAGAUCCAGAAGUUGCCCAGAUUAUACGCAAAUUAGAUGAAAGAAAACGUGAAGCCGUCCAAAAGGAACGUUACGACUAUGCCAAGAAGCUGAAACAAGCUAUUGCUGAUUUGCAAAAGGUCGGAGAGCGGCUCGGGCGCUACGAGGUGGAGAAGCGCUGUGCGGUGGAGAAGGAGGACUACGACCUGGCCAAGGAGAAGAAGCAGCAGAUGGAGCGGUUCCGAAGCCAGGUGUACGAGCAGCUGCAGCUGCACAGCCUGGUGGACGGCGAGCUGAUGCGAAGGCCUUCCGACUUGCCCGCCCAGCCCCUUGCUCACUCUGCCAGUCCUCACCACCAACAGCCAAUGCCGUCCCUGCUGCAAGAAGAAAGCGCACCAGAAAGCCGGUUUGCAGAGCCUUUCCUUCAGGAAAAGCCUCCAGCGCAUGCCCUGGGCCCUUCUCAGCACUCCACAGUGGACCUGUCACCACGCGCCACAGACCUUCAUCUCAAGACCCAUCUCCAGUCCGUGCCCUACGACGAGCGGCCCCUUCCUGCCUCGCGGAAGCAGCCAGCAGUGGCCCUGGAACCAGAAAAGAGUGACAGUGAUGUCAGCGAGGCUCCCAGGGGAGGUGCGGCUGGAGAGCCGGAGCCCUUGACGGAGAAGGCCCUGAGGGAGGCCGGCCCCGCCGUGGACGUGCUCGGAGAGAGCCUGGUCGCGGGGGCCUAUUCCAAGACGUGGUCGUACCGGGAGGACGCGCUGCUUGCCCUGUAUAAGCGGCUGAUGGAGACGCCUGCUGGAACCGCGAAGGAAGAGCUGAAGAGCAUGCUGCGCACGUCCAUCUUUCUCGUGAGAAGAGCCCUCAGAGACAUAGUGACCCCGGUUUUUCAGGCUUCUUUGAAAUUGUUGAAAAUGAUAAUUACGCAAUAUAUUCCUAAACACAAACUGAGUAAGCUUGAAACCGCUCACUGUGUGGAAAGAACCAUCCCCGUCCUGCUCACCAGGACUGGAGACUCUUCUGCUCGCCUCCGAGUCAUAGCUUCCAAUUUUAUUCAGGAAAUGGCCUUGUUCAAGGAAGUUAGGUCUCUCCAAAUUAUUCCAUCUUACCUGGUGCAGCCAUUAAAAGCCAACUCUUCGAAUCAUCUGGCAAUGAGUCAGAUAGGCCUCCUGGCCCGGCUUCUGAAAGACCUGGGCACCGGGGGCAUGGGCUUCACCAUCGAUAACGUGAUGAAGGCUUCCUGCUCCUCGUUCUGCCGUGAGUCGGCACGUACGUGUGGACGUUGGUCCCUGGUGGUGGACAGACUGUGAAGAGCCCAUGUCCGUAAGAGAGAGCUGCAGUGUCACUGGGGACAUCAAGCAUCUGGACGUGUAGAGCAGCGGAAAUGGACGACCUGAUGAAACCACAGACGUCCUGGGAGAGAAGCUGUCUGCCAGAGCCAGGACUCCCCUCUCCCUAAUUUCGAAUGUGCUGGAAGUGCGCUCUGAGCAUGCAGCCGGCGUGAGACGAGGAGCUGCAGCGCCCUCACGGCGGCUCGUUGUGGCGCAGCCCAAGCAUCAGCACUCCGCAUUCCUUCCCGUCCGCGCGGGAAGGGAGGGCCUCCCUUCUCCGUGGGUUCCACGCAUGCAUCGACUCGGAGACCUGGACCAGGUCCUCAUGUAAUCAAAUGUGCCAUCAGGAAAGGCAGGAUCAUGUCAGGCCACUUCCACUCAUGUGUUUCCUCUACGGACGAAUGAUUUAGACACUAAACAAAUGCCAUGGGCUCUUCCUGCGAAUAUAUCCAGACGCCGACCGGCCUCCCAGCUCCCCUGCUGCACGAAGGUCCAGCCCCCAUCAUCGCUUGCCUGGCCGGCCACUGCCAGCUCCCCAGGGGACUUUCCCUUCUGACUCACUCUGCAGUCACGUGGACCAGCCUCUCUCUUGCCUCCAAGUGCAGUUUUCUUGUUGCCCGGGACACAUGGCUGCCCAUUAGCCGGCGCCCCGCUUCAAGACGCCAGCCUUGGCCUCAGUCCCGGUGAGCUCUGCCGCAGCGACGAGGCACGGGGAA